rnacentral:lncRNA from 1 species
GGUUAAUGACCAUGAAAGGAAGGUUGGGAUUGAUUUUUGGUGUUUUGGUCCCAACAGUUUAUGAAUUAGGGGCUAAAAAGGGCCCAAAUAAGCAUUUUUCUUGGUUUUCGCACAAUAACUUUAGUAAAAGUAAAUAGAAAUCUAUGAAAUUUUAACAUAAGGUCUAUGACCACAAAAGGAAGGUUGGGAUUGAUUUUUGGAGUUAAAGUCCCAACAGGUAAGAAUUACGGGC